GCGCUUGCUUUGGCGGCACAUAUAGUAACAUUGGAACGAUGCAGGGAAGAUUUGCAUGGCUGCUAUGCAAGGAUGAUGUAUGAAAUUUUUAUGUGAAAGCGAUACAA
ensembl:snRNA U6 U6 spliceosomal RNA